GGGGAACCAGGACUUUUACUGUGAAAAAAUUAGAGUGCUCCAGGCAGGCCUAUGCUCGAAUACAUUAGCAUGGAAUAAUAGAAUAGGACGUGUGGUUCUAUUUUGUUGGUUUCUAGGACCGCCGUAAUGAUUAAUAGGGACAGUCGGGGGCAUCAGUAUUCAAUUGUCAGAGGUGAAAUUCUUGGAUUCAUUGAAGACUAACUACUGCGAAAGCAUUUGCCAAGGAUGUUUUCAUUAAUCAGGAACGAAAGUUAGGGGAUCGAAGACGAUCAGAUACCGCCGUAGUCUUAACCAUAAACUAUGCCGACUAGGGAUCGGACGGUGUUAUUUUUUGACCCGUUCGGCACCUUACGAGAAAUCAAAGUGCUUGGGCUCCAGGGGGAGUAUGGUUGCAAGGCUGAAACUUAAAGAAAUUGACGGAAGGGCACCACCAGGGGUGGAGCCUGCGGCUUAAUUUGACCCAACACGGGGAAACUCACCAGGUCCAGACACAAUGAGGAUUGACAGAUUGAGAGCUCUUUCUUGAUUUUGUGGGUGGUGGUGCAUGGCCGUUCUUAGUUGGUGGAGUGAUUUGUCUGCUUAAUUGCGAUAACGAACGAGACCU
rnacentral:rRNA from 1 species